CUUUUUUUUUUUUUUUUUUUAAGUAUUGUUAACAAUCCUUUGGAAGUCACUACUGGUCUUUGUGUGCUGCUUUUUAAUAAUUGAGUUAUUUUGAGCUUGCCAAGUAGGAUCUAUUGCCUGGACUAAAAUUUAUUUCCUAAUCUUCUGAUGACCAAGAAAGGAAAAAUUAAGUUUGCAGAUGUGAGAUGAAAUAUAGCCAGUGAAUAUGCAUACUGAUUCUGAAUGAAAGGAAUUAACUUUUCAGUCAAGAAACAGUCUGCAUGCAGUAAAUUGAAUUUUUCCUGCAACUGGAAUGAUUUGUUUAAUUCUUCUUUGAACACUGCCCUUUCUCCAGUAAGAACACUAAUGAUUUGCUAAUAUUUUUUAAAGAAAUCUGUUUUUUUAAUUAGUUAAGCUCAGACUUCCUCUUAUUUUUUAUCCUAGAGAAAACUGCUAAAAGGGAAUGAUAUAUCAGUACUAUUCUUCUAAAACAACUUUUUAAAAAUGAUUAUACAAAGCCAAAUAUGCUCAUUAUAUAAAAUUUAGAAGCAAAAAGAAGGAAAUAAAAAU
rnacentral:lncRNA from 10 species